rnacentral:rRNA from 1 species
CCCUAUGGGGUGCAGCAGGCGCGAAACCUUUACAAUGCACGCAAGUGUGAUAAGGGAAUCCUGAGUGCUCAUCUUACGAUGGGCUUUUGCCAUGAGUAAAUAUCUUGGCGAAUAAGUGGUGGGUAAGACUGGUGCCAGCCGCCGCGGUAACACCAGCGCCACGAGUGGGAAUCAUGUUUAUUUGGCCUAAAGCGUCCGUAGCCGGCAUCGUAAAUCUUUUGUGAAAUCACCAGGCUCAACUUGGUGGCGUGCAGAAGACACUGCGACGCUUGGAACCGGGAGGAGUCAGAAGUAUGGGAUGGGGAGCGGUAAAAUGCGAUAAUCCAUCUUAGACUACCUGUGGCGAAGGCGUCUGACUAGAACGGAUUCGACGGUGAGGGACGAAAGCCAGGGGAGCGAUCCGGAUUAGAUACCCGAGUAGUCCUGGCUGUAAACGCUGCGAGCUAGGUGUUGCAUAUUCUACGUGAAUAUGCAGUGUCGAAGUGAAGACGUUAAGCUCGCCGCCUGGGAAGUACGGUCGCAAGACUGAUACUUAAAGGAAUUGGCAGGGGAGCACUACAAGGGGUGCGACGUGCGGUUUAAUCUAACUCCACGCAGAGAAUCUCACCGGGAGCGACGGCAGGAUGAAAGUCAGGCUGAAGACCUUACUAGACAAGCCGAGAAGAGGUGCAUGGGCCAA